AUGGCCCCAAAACGCAAGGAACUGUCAUUGUCUGAGAAAAAUGCCAUUGCCGCAUUGCAUAAGGCUGGUAUGAAAGGACCUGACAUAGCAAGACAAACAAGACACCCACUUUCAACAAUUUAUGGGGUUUUAAACCGUUUCAAAGGUCGGGGGAGUUUGGAAAACAAGGAGAGAACGGGAAGGCCAAAUCUGCUAACACCGCGGGAUACUCGCAAAUUUUGCACCACUGUCAAGUCGGACAGAAAAUGUCCACUGCAUGAGAUAACUGCUGUUUUUAAUGAAUCUAGGGAAGAACCAGUAUCUAAGCGUACUGUUCAGAGAAAAUUGUAUGAAGAAGGGUUAAAAAAACGUGUUGUAAAAAAAUCCAUAGAAUUCGGGCUGCAAAAGUCAAAAAAAGGCUGGCAUGGUGUAAAUUGGCCAGGCACAAAACUGUGGAAGAUUAUUGGAGAAGGUUCAUAUAUAGUGAUGAAUGUAAGGUGGAAAUUGGAAUGA
rnacentral:sRNA from 1 species